UCUGGGUGCAGUUUCCUCUUAGUAAGGUGAAGGAGGCUCAAUAAAUAAAUUGACUUUCUACAUAUUACGUAGUUCUUUUUACGUAGUUUUUUAAAAAUAUAUUUGUAGCUAAAAUGUGAUACUGUGUAAUCUGGACAAAAUGAGGUUCAAUUUAGAACGUUAUCAUCUUUGGCCCAAUUUGGACAAGUGGAAAUCGUUUUUUACACCCGAAAAUAUCCAAAUCUCUUAACUUAAUAAACCCAUUAAGUCCAACAAUGCAAGUUAAAUAUUAGGACACAAUUCGACUUGUUAACGGUACGUGCAAGUUUUUGAGGUUAUACAUCGAAAUAUCGUCUAAAUUUGUACCCGAACAAUCAAAUCCUAAAUUUGUUUCGUUGGCGAAUGAUUACAAAACACGUUAAGAAUAUCAUGACUAAGCUCACAACAAUUGGCGUCCCAACAUUGUUCAGAAGAAUACAUACACGCAACUACAAAUAAUUCCACAUGCCGUAUCCAAAAACCACCCAACGAAAAAUGGAGGAGCAUUCCUGCAUUAGCUAAGAUAACUUUAAAGUUUUAUUUGUAGCUUAAUUUAAAUUUAUCGAGUACAUAUUUAGUUUUAAGAGCAAAUUCGUUUGCGCAGUUGCAAACCUUCUAAAUCUAUAUUAUAAGCUGGAAAAGUCAAAGGAUGUGUCUCUCCAUAUUCAUCUGACUUUCGAUCUGUCCUUUUUUAUUUAUUUACUUAAUUUUAGGUUCCAUUUCUACCAAUCAUUAUGUAGUAAGGUGAACAAGAUGACAAAUUCAUCAAUUUGUUCGCUUAACUUUAAAUCAUUUUAUUUUAAGUUAUUUAGUUUCUGGUGAAAUCCAUGAUUCCACGCGUUUUGAGCGAGUACUGGGUAUUAUGUAUUUGUUCAAGUAUUUAAAAAUCCUCUUUUCAUUCCAACUAUGCAAAGUUGGUACAGUUUAUUAAUAGAUUUGAACACUUACACAAAGC